ensembl:lncRNA
UUCCAUCAUCACUUUUUAGCCACCACUUUUUAACUGCCUGUUUGUCAAGGUUAUUGUAAAUAUUGCCAAUUUUAUUUACUCCCUCCCUCUUUACUAACUUUCAAGACUCAAUAACUGUGUAUUAAGAUAUACAUCCAAAGACCAAAGAUGAAAGUUUUGUAGUCCAGAUGGAAUUAGACUGUAAAGCCCGCUUAUCUGUAGUAAACAGAACUGAUCAUAAUGAGCUACUAGACAAUUUUAGUUUCAGUACCCUAUUCCAAAUUGUCAUGCUAUCUAGGAGCACUUUUCUUAUCAACUAGAUGCUAUGAUUCUAUAUAAAACUGAAGAAGUCAUGGACCUGUAUUUAAAAGCCAGAUGGAAUUGAGCCCACUGGAUAAAAAUAUCUAGAUGUUACAUUUACACCUGAGAAAAGGUAACAUCUCACUGCAUAAAGUAAUUGACAUUGCUGUGAAAUACAGCCAAAUAUGAGCAAAUCAGGACCUUUCAACACAGCAGCUACUCUUGAAAAAGGUAAUUACACCAUAAAUUCAGAUUUCUAACAGUAAACUUGAUUAAUGCUUAAUUUACGGAUCAACCUAUCUCCCUUGCUGAAGAUAUUUCUUCUCAAAUCCAAAAGAAGUGAUUCUCCCAGUCGUCAGCAAACCAUUUUGUUUCAAGCAGCAUCCAUCAUCUUGCCAAUGAAAAUGUCAAUAGCACAGAGAGAAGCAGCACAUUUAUCUAAUUUUUCCACAUAGAGGGAGGUAUUUAUGUUAUAAAUCUAAUAUGAAAAAUAUCUCAUGUUGUUUUUACGACACGUAAACACAUUUGAUCUAUUUUCCCUCAAAAUCAAAUUUUGUAGAACACUGCAGGAUCUCCCACUUAAAAGGCAGCUACUAUUAACUUUUAUCUCUCUACGAGCGUGGUUCUGAAUAAUCAGCAAACCUCAAGUUUUCUGUCACUGACAGAACACUCAUUAAAAUCUGGUAAGACAACAACUGCUUCUAUUUCUGUAAGCUCUCACUCAAGUAUUCUUUUUUAUGGUCUUUAAUAGCCCUUAGGCUUUUUUUUAACUCUACGCAAAUGUUUGUCUGGUUCAGUAUAAACCUUCACUUUCUUUACUAGCACUGCUAUUCCGCCAGCUCUCAGUUACCACUCAGUUGUGUGCAGCGAGACGACUUCCAAAACCAGCUGGGACCGCCUGUUCCAAAGCCCAAGUAACAACCCAGCACUGCAGCAUGAUGCGUGCAAGUAGAACGACCGGUGAUGAUAAUACUGCCAUAUAACAGAAAACAAUUACGGUUUUUAAAUGAAGUGUAAAGGUUAGCAGACAUAAUGGCAUGACCUUAUUUUUCUUACUCGCAUUCCUUGUCUGUCUGCUGGUUUGUCACUUGCAAUUUGUUGAAUUAGUCUGAAGGAACAUCGCUGUCUCAUUUGAGGCAGGUGGAAUACAUUUGCUGCAAGGAGCUGUGAGCCUGGCUGAGCUCUCCAGACUCCACUUACAAGCAAACACUGUGAAGCAGGCCGUGAAGUAAGCAAUGCUCAUUGGUCUAUUCCUGAUAGACCGGGACAUCGUCUCCUUCCGCUGAAGUCAAUAACAUUCAUUGGGUCUUACUGUUAGCUGGCCCCAUUCCCUACAAUUUCCCACAAGAAGCCACUCUAGCAUGCUUUCUACUGACUUGUACAUCUAUGCUUAUAUGAGGGAGAACUGAUGUUCGUAGCACAAACAGGCAGCUCCUCAUAGGACACCUGAUGUGCCCGCAGACUGCCGCACAAAUCAGAGCUCUGAGCAGCUGGUGAGAACUAAGAAGUUCUGCCAGAAGAGGCACUGGCCUUUUAAAUGGAUGCAUCAAGGUAUUACUUUAAAUCUAGAUGUGAAAGCGGGGAAAGCAACUGAGUAAAGGAGUGCUAUUGUGCAUGCAGUCAUUUUCAGGAGUAGAAAAGAACGUAAAAAUUAAAACACUCUGCAAUUCACCGUUACGUAUUUCUGCAGAAUGUUUCAGUGGGGAAGUUUUACCAUAGCAUUCCCUACAACAACUAUCAGGGAAACACUGAGCAUCUGGACAAGUCUCUGGUUUUACACUGACUAAAACCUAAGUAUUUUAAUGGCAAGCACAGCACUGGGUCUUGCCAAACAUAUACUAUACUGAUGAGCAUGAAACUCAGUGCAGAACAUAAUCAAAGGCAGUGUUCUUGCCCCUCAGUUGCUUGUUUCUCUGACAUUACACAUGAAAGUUUAUCUUGCAGAGGUGGGACAGAUUUCACAAGCCAGCAUCCCUCAGCGCUAACAACUUUCCACACACACACACUUAUCUUCUCAGUAAUAACUGAUCUGCAUAUAAACAAACCGGUUCUGUUCAUGCAAAUGUUAACAGCUCUCAGGCAGACUGCUUCAUGAGCACGUGCAGGCAGCCCCACUGGCAGCUCGUACAUAAAUAAGCACAGCACAGGUGCGGGUCAGAAUCCCUCCUAAAAAUAAGCAGGUCCCAAGCGCAGACCACUGAUUCACCUCAAUGUGGAGGCUGAGUGUGACAUUUAGCAUUAAGUAGAUAACACUUCUCUAAGAAAAAGAGAAAAUCUGCAUUGUUGCAUCUCGGCACAACCAGACAUCAUGAAUCUUUGAUCCUCUGUACAAUAAACCAUAUUAAUGCCAUCUGAAGCAAACAUUCCCAGACUCAGAAAAAAAGCAACAGGGGGUUCAGUGACCGAAAAUGCCACCGAGAUCAGCACCCUGCACAGCACAGCACUAUUUACACCUGUAUUUCUAAGCCCAUACCAGCGAAAUCAGGGUGAAAGGACGGCUUUAUGAAGGACUCUGUCAACUCCUCACCAUUACCGCAGCCGGCCGCUCAAGCGACGUAUAACCCAAAUUAUCCUUUACAGCGAUCUUCAGGCUGAAAUUUCACCCGAUUUCAGUUAUUUUCCUGUGGCGUUUUUAAUUGGAUCAAUAGCAUUCAGCCAUUUUGAAAACUGUGGUGGCACACACGGACUGACACACACACAUACGUGAGCGCUCCCUUUAACGCAGGCUAAUAAAGGUCGGGCUGUAACUCACGUACAGCCAAGCGCUCGCUAUGGGAGGCCGAGGGGCCGUGUUUUCCCUCGGUGCUGUGUUUUCCCUCGGUGCUGUUUUCCCUCGGUGCAGCGCUCCCUGCCACACCGCCUCCCGCGCCUCGGCCCACGCUGGGACUGACGCUGACCCUCUCCUCACAACGCACUGAACGUUCGCCGGUGAAGACGCCCGAGAGCCGCCCUGGGUUUGGCCCCUUGAAGUCGCAUUGCCACCGGGGCUUUUGAUUUUAACCGCGGGAGCCCACACGCCAUACAGGAGAAGAACUUAGGAAAGUGAGAGUAUUAAAGGGUUCCUCGGCUCUCAGAUCUGAUUUUUGUUCAUAUUUAAAGCCCGCAGUAGGGGAAAGAGGAGCUUUUUCUUUUCCUCGCAGCACUUCAGAGUCAAUGCACUUACCGAGAUAGGAUCUCAAUUCCAUUCUGCAAAGCAGAAUGGUUAGCUAAUUGGCAGGCACACACAAUUUCAGAACCAGAUCUCGUAGAUUAAGCUCAUUACCCCGAGCUUUUCAUGUCAGACUCCGAGUCCCGGCGUAACCCCUUCCCCCGCCGGCUCCC